UCUUCCAUUACUAUUUGGUCAAUAUCCAUUCCUAAUUUUUUCCAUUCAUUUUUGCGCCGCCUCCCUCCUGUGAUUUAAGGUAGUCGUCGUCUCCCUUUGAAACCCCCAAAUCGGAGUUCAUCGCCGCCUCCCUUUGACAGAGUUAUUUUCGACGUUUUCCCAAGUGUUGACGGCGACCCACACUCAAUCAGAGAGUCGCGGGUUUGGCCGGCAACGACGAGGAGAUUCUGCUUGAUUGAGGCGAUUCCGGUGAUCUCAUCGAGCGUGGAGGAGGCGAAACCCUCGGAAAUCCCAAAUCACCGCCUUCCCCAAAUUGUCGCCUCCCUCAAAUCACCGCUUCCCAGUGAGCGCGAAACCUUCAGGCAUCGCGUCCCUCAAAUUGUCAGCUCCUUUUUCAAGGUUAGGAGCCACAUGCACUGCGCGGCUCGCCUCUCUUCCCCGGUGAAGAGCGCCACAACCGACCACCCCUAUCUCCGACGCAACAAUUAGCAGCUGUAGGAGGACCCACCGUCGUCGUUGUCGCUCUUCACUUCUCUCUCUCUCUCUAUAGAUCCAGAAAUCAGCCCUUUGUUCUCAGGUAACAACGACAAUCCCUUGCUGUUUCAGAAAUUCCAGCGACCAUGGCUGCCCCCAACUUCGACUCCCACUCACUGUCCGAAUAUACGACAGCC
rnacentral:lncRNA from 1 species